GGCGUAAGGGCUCGCAGGCGGUUCCUUAAGUCUGAUGUGAAAGCCCCCGGCUCAACCGGGGAGGGUCAUUGGAAACUGGGGAACUUGAGUGCAGAAGAGGAGAGUGGAAUUCCACGUGUAGCGGUGAAAUGCGUAGAGAUGUGGAGGAACACCAGUGGCGAAGGCGACUCUCUGGUCUGUAACUGACGCUGAGGAGCGAAAGCGUGGGGAGCGAACAGGAUUAGAUACCC
rnacentral:rRNA from 1 species